AUGGAUCACAUGACCAUAGAACCAGAUGAGCGUAGGGCAAUGUCAGUUGCAUCCUCUUUAUUGGGAUCUGCUCUGGUCGUAGCACCAAACCAAAGAUAUCCUGCUGUACCAGAUGAGAUCCUACAGUGUGGUGUGCAUCCACAAGGCACUGGGUUCUACAACCUUGCAAAGUAUGGAUUUGAAAAACUUAGGGAAGCAGUACGGAAAUUCCAAGCCGAUGUCAGUGGAGGCAAGAAAACUAUAGAGCUUGGAGGAUGCCAGGUAUCAGCACAGAUUUGGGUGUUGGACAACAUGGACUUUGGCAACUCAAAUGUGACAUCUACACGCCUGCCGAGGUUAUCAGCCUACUCUGGUGACAAGAUAAAAGAACUAAUUGGUCUAGAUGAGCGAUACCCUGGGCGGCUCAAGACCAAACCAGAAAACUGGAAGGACAACAUCAACUGGGUUUGGCACUCCAUGAUGUCAGAUAAUCCACCAGACCUUGGCAUACAUAGCCCACCCAUAGAGCUUGGGGCUAUCGUGGAUGACGGGGUUGAAAAGAUCUUCAGAGAUGCGGUUACAGCAUGGUGUAUCAAACAUCCAGGUUCCAUUUGUGAUGGACGUGCUGGGGGGAGGAUGAUGCCACCAUGGAGAAGUUCCUGCAGGGGAUCAAGGACAACAAAAAAGAUUUUGUUAGAAAUCUCAUGGAUGCAUUCGCUGCUACAAGAUCAAAAUCAAUGA
rnacentral:rRNA from 1 species